CAAAUUUGACUUCAGCAAACCAAGACGGAUUAUAACAAAUGACUAACAGAUGAUUACACACCUAAGCUACCAUAACUGAUGGCAAAUACUGUACGCAGUAUCUGUUUUGCUUAUUUAAUGUUGAGGCUCUGUCUUUCUAUCCAUCUGUACAGAGAGGGAUCCUAAGGAAGACUGUGAAAGAAAUGUCACCAUGUAUCGCAUCCUAUUCUUACUGGGUUUCACUGGGCUGCUCAUCAUAGUUAGUCUCCUCGCUGGCUUAAUGGUGUGGUGCUGCACACGGGCUAAACAAGCAUACAGCCCAAGGAAGAGCCACAAUCAGUUCUGCAUUUGCCCUCAGCACAGUGCUUCACUUUUAUACUGACACCAAAGUGACGGAGGAGGCCAUCUUCACUUUAGGCCAAAAAAUAAAAACUUAGCUUUCUUGAUGUGCAGCCCUACAUACUGGUGUGCAUGUGUUUCUGCCUUUACCUGCAUAUAUUGUUGUGUGUCUUGUAGUGAACUUUUAAAAAACCUAUAUUGUGUAUCUUAUUGUGUUUUAUGCAAUUUGAGCAAUUUCCUCCGGGAUAAAUAAAGUUUUUCUGAUUCUGA